rnacentral:rRNA from 1 species
AUUGAACGCUGGCGGCAUGCCUUACACAUGCAAGUCGAACGGUAACGGGUCCUUCGGGAUGCCGACGAGUGGCGAACGGGUGAGUAAUAUAUCGGAACGUGCCCAGUAGUGGGGGAUAACUGCUCGAAAGAGCAGCUAAUACCGCAUACGACCUGAGGGUGAAAGGGGGGGAUCGCAAGACCUCUCGCUAUUGGAGCGGCCGAUAUCAGAUUAGCUAGUUGGUGGGGUAAAGGCCUACCAAGGCAACGAUCUGUAGUUGGUCUGAGAGGACGACCAGCCACACUGGGACUGAGGCACGGCCGAGACUCCUACGGGAGGCAGCAGUGGGGAAUUUUGGACAAUGGGCGCAAGCCUGAUCCAGCAAUGCCGCGUGCAGGAAGAAGGCCUUCGGGUUGUAAACUGCUUUUGUCAGGGAAGAAAUCUUCUGGGCUAAUACCCCGGGAGGAUGACGAUACCUGAAGAAUAAGCACCGGCUAACUACGUGCCAGCCGCCGCCGUAA